GACAGAGACGCCACCAACCACGAAGUAGCAGAAAGAUUUAUAGGCACAUCAGCUUAUCCGAAUUCUAGAUCAAUCCUAUCGAUUUUGAUGUUCGAUCUUGUACUAUGGAUAUUGCAUCUUUACUGUUGCUGCAGGCUUUUAAUGGCAAGAAAUGGGAAAAGUUCAACAGUGAAAAGGUGGCAUCACUUGCAUAUGUUCGCAUCCAGGGAAAAGCUGCCCUUAUUGCUCACUUCCAGAAUUCUAGCUUGAUGAAUGAAGAUAAGCUGUAGUAUGCUGAAUUGUAGUAUGCUAUUGGGCUUCAUGGCUUACUACUCUAUAACCCCAUAUCAAAAAAUAUAUAAAACAGAGCUACAAUGUGUUCCUAGUAGCUUUGACUCUGUGGAAGAGUAUGUUUUUGCAUAGGCUGCUUGUGGACUGAACAUUAAAU